GAAACAGUAAUAUAAAAUGAGUUAAUUUAGUUGGUUGAGUUAGAUUAUUUUAUUGACGUGUAAAACAAAAUUAAAUAGUUAAAGGUAAAAAUUUUGUUUGAAAAUUUGAUUUGUGAUUGAGAUAUUAUGAGGGCACUGAGGGGGCAGGUGCCACUACUCCUCGGAGUCACAAUAAAUUGAGUCCACAUCCGUGCAUCUACUCGCAAAAUCAAAUUGCACAAGUCAAAUCCAUGUGUUGCUUAUUAAUUUCUAGAGUUGGGAGUACACACUUACUUUUUCAAUUAUAUUUAGAAAUAUUUCAAACUUUACAAAACCUUUUUUUGAGAACUUUUCUAUUGUUUGAAUAAGAACAAAAGUAAAUAUACAAUAUGCAGAGUUUAACUUGAUUGGCAACUUGGCAACGUAAUUUGGAGUAAAAUAUAUUCCACCUUCAUUGGUUGUGCAGCUUGUGCAAGAUAUAAAUACAGUCAAAUUGUUUGUAUCUCAACUUAUUAAUCAUGUAGAGAUUGACAGAUUGUCACAUCAAGACACUGGUUAUAUUAAAUGUUUAUGACUUUGAAUAUCAAUAUAAAACAGCUAAAACAUUGUUUUCUUCCCGGGAUGAUGUGAGAAAGGUCAACGGUGAUUAGGGAAGUUUUCUUGACAAAUGACAAAUGGUUAUAAAAUAUGUCAUGUUACAAAAAAAGAAAAAGAAAAAAAGGUUAUAAAAUAUGUCAAUUUUGUGUCUAGUGUAUACUCUUAAGCUGGGGUGUUCUAUAAAUAGUUAAUCAAGAUGCCUCGAUUAAAGGACUGCUACACAUCGUUAAAGGCUACUCUGGAAUCACAAUACUAAAAGCAGCAUAUUCUGUAUCUAGAGAACGCCACGUCCUCAAAAAUAUUCGUCCAAUCAGAAUCAGUUAAUUGUCCACGUCAGAUGGGCCUCACAAUUGUUUUUUAAAUUGGCCCAACUGGACACAAAACACACAAAGAAACACGUCGAAGGAUGACGCUUCGCUUCACCUCUGCCAGUUCGUCUUCUCCAAUUGAAGAGUAAAGAAACCGAGUAGUAAUCGAGCCAAUUCUACACAAUCAAUACGUUCUUAAUGAUUUCAUUCCAUCUCCCUCUUUUUUCCCUCUUUGGAUUUGUCCGAUCGAUUAGAACUUCGUAAUUAGAUCUGAAAUUCGCGAGCUUUAGGUCAACUGGUUUCGUCUCUGUGCAAUUCAAGGAGCUAGCUCAGGCUUAUGAGGUUCUCAGCGAAGCGGAGAAGCGUGAGAUCUAUGAUCUGUACGGUGAGGAUGCGCUCAAGGAAGGAAUUGGUGGUGGAGGCGGUGGUCAUGACCCCUUUGAUAUCUUCUCCUCUUUCUUUGGUGGUGGUGGUGGACACCCUUUCGGAGGUGGCAGCAGCCGUGGAAAGAGGCAGAGGCGUGGUGAAGAUGUUGUUCACCCUCUGAAGGUUUCCCUUGAGGAUCUUUAUCUCGAGACAACGAAGAAGCUCUCGCUUUCUAGGAAGGCUUUGUGCUUAAAGUGUAACGGCGAAGAUGAUAUUCACAAAAGCAUCAAAUAUAAUGUGUGGUCCAGUACCUCUAAUGGCAACAAGAAGCUUAACGCUGCGUAUAACGAAGCAGCUGGAGACAAGUCCUCCUGUCCUGUUUUUCUCAUCUUCUCUGUAAACACAAGUGGGCAGUUUGUUGGUUUAGCGGAGAUGGUAUGACCAGUUGAUUAGAACCAGAUGGCGGAGUGCUGGCAGCAGGACAAGUGGGUUGGUUGCUUCCCUGUUAAGUGUCACAUCGUUAAAGAUAUCCUGAAUAGUUCCUUGAGGCAUAUUACGCUUGAGAAUGAUGAGAACAAGCCUGUUACUAAUAGCCAUGAUACACAGGAGGUAAAGAUAGAGCAAGGAGUCAAAGUAAUCAUUUUUUUUAAGGAACAUGUGAGCAAGACAUGCAUACUCAAUGAUUUUGUCUUCUAUGAGAAUUGUGAAAAUAUAAUCAAAGACUGGGAAAAAGAAACACCAACUGUAUAAAAGACAGCAAUCUUUUACUGCCAGUGACAAAAAGGCAACACCAAAAGACAAAUCUAAGGAAACCAGUGUGAUAGCAGAAGUGGCUGAAGAGAUAUCACAAAACAGUGUUGCAGAAGUUGCGAGCACAUGCUGAAUCGCAUGCUGAGUGCAGCAGCAAGCUGCUUACUUUACUUUGGAUGGGUUUUUUUGUCCGUUUUCUCCACCAAAUUUGCUCACUCUUUUCUUAGGAGUUUGGUUUUCUUUUGGUAGUUGGUUUUUGAAGUUGUAGAAGAUAUAUGAGUAAAAAUGAUUUCGAAGGCUAUAUAUAUAUUUCUUUUUCUUAAAAGUUCAAUGCAAAAAUAUAUUUUCUGUAUGUUUUUGUAACUUCAUUCACAAAAUUUCAAUCAGAAAAUAAAGGGCAUUGUAAUUGAGAAAAGAAAGAAAACAAAUCAACCUUUGUGAGCUAUUUGAACAAAUAAAUGUUGGAAACCAACUCUUGGUCGUCUCUCCGCCACUGGUGUAUCCCAUGAGCUUCCUUAUAGUCUUCAGAAGCAGUCCGGUUUACAAUCAGCUUAGCAGAUGGGAUGACGUGAACAGGCUCUUGCACAUCCACUGUAAAAUGCUUCAAAACAGUCAAAGAAAUAUGAUAUUAUACAUCAAUUCGCUGAAACAAAAUAAGUUAAAGGUUCACAUAUUACUUGACAGACAAGUUAUUUAUCAAACCACUAGAGCAUAAGAGACCAAAAAACUAACAACAUAGUUUUCCACUACAAAAAGGGUCACCCACAAUUGGCAAAGCCAAGUGAAUGACACUUUAAAAAACUUAAAACACAACACUGUUAACGGGACUAUGAAAUACAGCCGAUCAAUACCCGAACUUAACCCAAUACUUCUAACCGAAACACUACCAAUCCCACACAUUUUAAAAACAGCAGCAGGUUCAUGGCUUUAGACUCCAGUAUUAACCUUACCAUAUCGUAAUUAACUUUUUUUUUUGUUAUCCUAGAGAGACCAUCUAUUAAGUUAUAUUUGGCAGACUAAGUACGAUCUUGGUGGAUCUAUCUUUUGUAUCAUUUAAAAAUAAAUGAUAGAAGUUUGUAUCAUUUAAUUUUGUGAUACAAUUUACAUUUUUUUUUGUAAGAUCGAUUUGUUUUUUUCUCCUUUUUUUUUGUUUUCAUUUGGUUGUUAAUGCGAGCUUUGUAGUUUUUUGGUGGGGGUAGUGUUCUCUAUCGAAAUCUUAUUUACAUGUUUGUGGAACUUCCCUGACAUCUGACAUAUUUUGUUUACUAUUAAGAUUCUAAUUGUAAAUUUAUUUAAGAAAAAAAAUAUACGAACCCGGCGCUACGCCGGAAUACCACUAGUCUGGAUAAUGAUCUGUCAAGAACCUAAAAAAUGUUAUAAUGAAAUUUAAAUGGAACAUAUAGCUUUUUAAUGUGUAAGUUGAAUCUAUCUCGUGCAAAUACCCGGCCAAUCGGAUAAUUUUUAAUAUUAAGAAUAAUUAACUAAUAAGCAUCAAGCCAAAAGAAAGAAAAUGAUGGUAAAAGGCCACUUCUGGCAUUAAAUAAUUUUAUAUUGUUUCAAUAUUAAAAUACAACAGCAAUAAAAACUUAUAAAAAGGUAAUAUCUCGAUAAUUCAGCUAGACCCAACUCAUAGUUAUGUAGCCAUUAUCAUUAUUUACUAAUACUUCUGCUUUAUAUCUUAAUUACUUUCCCCUAGUCUUACACGAACGGCAGCCUCUUGAGUUUGUAAUGUUAAUGUAAUUGUUUCGAACCAAAUACCAUUUAGCGAUGACUACUCAAAUCUAAAACUCUCUUUAUAUUUCGUUUCGUUUCGUUUCCAUCAACCAAAUUGUUUGUACGUAGCGAUUUUGCCAUUGUCUAAGCGUAGAGGUGCAUGUCUCUAGCUAGUUAUUUUAAUAUUUUGCUAGCUACCGUUUUUUCUGCUUUUAGUGCUUGUGUUUUUUUCAGUAUUAAAUCUAAAUUUAACUUUCAACCUUAAUAGUUGUGGAAAUUACUCACACACUGACAAAAACACACACACACACACACAUAUCAUUAUGUUCAACCAACGUGUCUUCAUAUGGAUCCAGAAGGUCUUUAAACUGAAAAGCGACUCCUAAAUUACAAGACAUGACUCCCAAAAACAUAUAGAAAAGCGUAUGUAUAUUCUAGUUGUGCCGAUUAUGAAAAAUUUUAAAUUUAUCAACUACAGUUCUGAUACUAAUUAGUCUACCCGUAUUAUAUUAAUCGUUAUAUCUGAGAUCAGUAUAGGAUUUAGAACUUUUUCAAAAAAAAAACUGUAGGGUUUAGAAGCAGUAUUUAACCAAUUUGGACUUUCUUUAAUCAAAUCAACAUGCAGCCAUUAUCGUACGUAGCACGCUGUUAAUUAACUGUACAUGCCACAUAAUUUCAAGAACUUAAUUUUGUACUUUUUAUUGGUUCCAACUGACAACAUUAUAGAAUGAAUAAACGGUCCAAAACUCUGUUUUUCCACGAGCUAAUUCUCCAGACGUUGCAGCUCAUAUGCUUUGUCGAUUGUUUUAGUCAGUGUUGGAGAUGGGCCAUGGGCAGACAUGAGGAAGUUCAAUGACAUGAUCCCUAAGCCUGAAUUCAAUAACUUUCAGGUAUCAUCUCAUUUUCAGUUUCAGUUCCAUUUGUAUACUUUUUCUUCGAUCUUGAUCUGAUCUCUGCAAAGUUUAUGAAUUUUACAGAGAUCAUGAAGAGAGAUUCAUCAGAGUUAGCCAAAGAAACUGCAUUGCACUUCCUGCUCUGAACUUCAGGUUUUGUGAUGCUCAUGUCGUUAAUACUUUCGCUGAGCAAACAUGAGGGACACAUUCUCUCUGAAGCCAACCUCUCACCAGGUAUUAUCUCCUUGGCGAACAUGGGGGUUACAGAUCUCUUUUACUACCAUCGAUCUCUGGCAGCUAUUGAAAUGGAAGUUGGUGAAAUGUACUAUCGAUUUCUCGUCUGUGUUUGUUUCUUCUAAGCUAAUUCAAUGGGUUUGGCUAGUUAAAAUUAUCUUUUGUAUCAGAUACUGGUUCUUUUCUAUAGGUUUGAAUAUCAAUUAAGAGUUAUUUGUAAUCUUUUGUAAAAGCCUAACGUUUUCAACUUUUUCUUUGCUAAGCUUUUAUGGUGUACUUUUUUGAAAAAAGCUUUUAGUUUAACUCGCUGGUUCAGUAACAUAUUAGUAUCUUGCAUCAUUCUAGCUUGUGACUAAAUGUUAUUACUUUCAAAUCGUUGGCA